CGCCGCGUGAGUGAUGAAGGCCCUCGGGGUUGUAAAGCUCUGUCGGAGGGGAAGAAUACAUGACGGUACCCUCCAAGAAAGCCCCGGCUAACUACGUGC
rnacentral:rRNA from 1 species